AGCAGCACAUCAUUACAUCCAGAGCACCAUCUGGAGGGAAUAUUAACUGUAUGCUGUCAGGACUAACUCAGAAGGAUUUUCAUUUAUUUCGUCUUAAAGGCGCAGCGAGGGACAUUUGAAAUAAGAAUCUCUGUCGGACCCCGGUCUGUCCUGUAUCCACACACGUUUUUCCGCCUUGACUGAGUGAGAUUUUACACAAAAAAUUGAAUUUUUCGAUUUCACAAAGACUAUAUUUCAGAGAGACAGCGCGUCUGAUUCUAUAAAGAGGAUUAACCAUGGAGAGACAUGACGCCCGAAAUUGGCAUGACUGCACAAAAAUGAUCGGACUGCUCUUCUUGGUCGCAACGACACUGCACGGUUUGAGAGGGGACCAAUUUAAACUUGACCACCAGCUGUCAGGGCGAUGACAGAAGCACAACCAGCAUUACGGUAAAGGCGUGAAGAACUGAUGUCCAAACAAAAGCAACGCUCUGGUGUCUUAUUCCAUUUUAUCUCUGCAACCUUUAAUCUUCUCUCCACCGUCCAUCCUUGCAUCAAUCCAACUGUCCAUCCAACCAUCAGGUAAGCCUCAGAACUCGGCCUCCGUCAUAACGGUGGAAGCAGGCACUAAGCUGGUUGUCGUGGCGUGAUGUGAGUCUUUGGAUGGCCACCCCGCUGCCCAGAUCUCCUGGGUGACCACAGGUCAGCCAAUGGCAAUGGGACAACAGUGUCUAAGCCGGGUGCAGACAACACCUUGACAAUGAGCAGCGACCACCACAUGGUUCCCACAGCAGCCGAUAACAGGAAAGACAUCAGCUGCGUGCUGGCACACAGGACUCAGGUCAAACCAGAGAGCCCCCCAGUGAAACUGGUGGUUCAGUGUAAGACACCACACACACACACACACACACAUAACCCAGCACUUAUUAUUUCACCUGUUCCUUUGCUGUUCACACUCUGACAUGAUUUUGCCUGUUUCAAACCUAUGAGUGAUUAGUUAAACUCAAUGUACUGGGCUACUUUUCUCCUCCUUUCUGCCAUUUAACUGUCCUUCCUCCAGACGCCCCUCAUGUGACAACAGUGGGGUAUGACAAUAAGUGGUACAUGGGUCGUACAAAUGUGGUGCUCACCUGCUAGGCUACUGGAAACCCUGUCCCAGUCUCUAUCAUGUGGAAGACAUGAGUACCAGCAGAUCUCUUUUGUCUUGUCAACUCUUUCUCUCUCUUUCCCCACGUCUCUUGCUUUCUCUUUUCCUUGUUUUUUUUCUCUCAUUUUCCAUGUCCACAAUCCUCACAGAGAUGUAGUCAGCGCUUUUAUUAAUGCCACUACAGCCCUGUGCUCUGAUUAUGGAGAUAGCGAUAUAAUUUCUCAAGACUCGAGAUUUAACCCUCAUAUAGCGAGAAACACAGUAUGACUCUGAAGAAGAAGUCUGAGCUUAAAAAUAGAAGAGAUUAGAAUUUGGAUCCAGCAGUUUUGAUUUUUGUCCUGUGCCCAUCAUAUUUUCUUCCACAUACAUAUAAACUGUGCAUUACAAGAUUGUAUUAAAUUUUAGUGUUUAAUGUCCAUCUAUUA